rnacentral:rRNA from 1 species
AUGUUGGGAGACUUUAAUGAAAUAUUGGUCUCAUCUGAGAAGGAGGGAGGCCCUCCUCGCCAACAUAUACGGAUGAAGGCUUUCCAGGAUGCCCUGUCAGAUUGUGCAUUGGAGGAUAUGGGAUUCACUGGUGAUAGAUUCACGUGGUUCAGAGGUGGACUAAAGGAGAGGCUGGAUCGAGCCGUAACGAAUGCAGACUGGAUUACCAUGCACCCCCUAGCAGGGCUGUGUAAUCUUGAGAUGGGGAAAUCUGACAACCGUCCCAUCUUAUUAGAUACUAAAUAUCUGGCGGAGCCAGCUGCGCCUCGGGGAAAGAGGGAUCGCCGUUUUGAAGCAAGAUGGCUGGAGGAGGAAACUGUUGAGGAAAUCGUCAAAACAGCUUGGCAAAAGGCGAUUCAUAGGGGAUUUGUCCUUCAAUCAAAGACAAGGCAGCCGCUGUUCAUAAUGAUCUUCACGAGUGGGACAAGCGUGUCCUUAAGGGGCCUCGAAACAGACUACAAAAAGCGCAACAAGAGCUUGAAAAGGUGA